GACUACCGGGGUAUCUAAUCCUGUUUGCUCCCCACGCUUUCGUGCAUGAGCGUCAGUCUUAUCCCAGGGGACUGCCUUCGCCAUCGGUGUUCCUCCACAUCUCUACGCAUUUCACUGCUACACGUGGAAUUCCAUCCCCCUCUGACAGACUCUAGACUCCCAGUUCCAAACGCAAUUCCCAAGUUAAGCUCGGGGCUUUCACAUCUGGCUUAAAAGUCCGCCUGCGCACGCUUUACGCCCAGUAAUUCCGAUUAACGCUUGCACCCUACGUAUUACCGCGGCUGCUGGCACGUAGUUAGCCGGUGCUUAUUCUUCAGGUACUCUCAACCUCACCAGGUAUUAACCAGUAAGUUUUGCUCCCUGACAAAAGUCCUUUACAACCCGAAGGCCUUCUUCACACACGCGGCAUGGCUGGAUCAGGCUUGCGCCCAUUGUCCAAAAUUCCCCACUGCAGCCCCCCGUAGG
rnacentral:rRNA from 1 species